GCAUAUCCAAAAAGCGGAGGAAAAGAAACCAACAGGGAUUGCCUUAGUAGCGGCGAGUGAAGCGGCAAUAGCUCAAAUUUGAAAUCUGGCACCUUCGGUGUCCGAGUUGUAAUUUGAAGAAGGUAUCUUUGGUUUUGGCUCUUGUCUAUGUUCCUUGGAACAGGACGUCACAGAGGGUGAGAAUCCCGUGCGAUGAGAUGCCCAAUUCCAUGUAAAGUUCCUUCGACGAGUCGAGUUGUUUGGGAAUGCAGCUCUAAGUGGGUGGUAAAUUCCAUCUAAAGCUAAAUAUUGGCGAGAGACCGAUAGCGAACAAGUACUGUGAAGGAAAGAUGAAAAGAACUUUGAAAAGAGAGUGAAAAAGUACGUGAAAUUGUUGAAAGGGAAGGGCUUGAGGUCAGACUUGGUUUUACCAGGCCAGCAUCAGUUUGGAUGGCAGGAUAAUAGCUUAGGAAUGUGGCACUGCUUCGGUAGUGUGUUAUAGCCUGGGUUGAUACUGCCUGUCUAGACUGAGGACUGCGUCUUUGACUAGGAUGCUGGCAUAAUGACCUUAAGCCGCCCGUCUUGAACCCACGGACCA
rnacentral:rRNA from 1 species